CCUGUCUGGAGAGGUGACGUUUGACCUGAGACCUGAUUGGAAGAUGCUGGGACAGGCCUAUUAAAUGUUCUGUGUUACCCAGGAGAAUGGUCACGGUGGUUUUUCUUGUAACCCAAAGAUAACAAGAAAUAGAUUCCAU